GGAGCGCGACGCCGAGAGGCGCGGCCCGGCGAGCCAGGGGUCGUCAAUCCGCUUAGGAACAGGGGACCAGGCCAAUCAGAUUCUCAGGUCCCCUCUCUUCGCUAACCACCAAUAGGAAGGCUUUUCGAGCCCCACCCACAUCAAGGGCCUGGCCCCGCCCCCUAGCUCCUCCUUCCUCUACAGACAGCGGGCGCGAGUCUCCUUGUUUAUCAAAACGCAGCGGGUGUGUGAGAGGCGGUGACUGCCGCUCACUGCAGCCUCCAACGAGCUCUUGACCUCGCAGAACCGCCCCUCGGAGGGUGUAACGGCGUGAGUUGCUUCCACUGAGACGGAGACGAAAUUUUAGUUCGCGGCUGCUGCAAUUUUUAGGCAAGAGCAGAAAUUCCUAGCUUGUCUUAAAGUAUAGGGACCCAUGUUUAACUUCAGUAAUUUGCGGAUCUCCUGAUGUUAGUAUUUGUAUUUUGAGCAUCUGUUCGUUGAGGAACAAGAGAAAUCUACCAUAAAUGUAGUAACUUUUAAAUUAAUUUGAUUUUAUUUAACACAACAGUUUCUCCAUAAAUUUGAAAAAGAGUAGGAAAACAAGUUGGGAACCUUGUUCUCUUUGAAGGGUAGAAUUACUGGCAACUUGUACUCUCUGAUAUGUAUUUCUCUAAUGUUUGAAAAUUCUGCAUUUCAUAAGCAAAAUCUAAGGAUAAAUGAAAAUCCAGAAAGUUGUCUAAAGGUGUUUGGGUCAAAGAGAGAUAUUUCUUCACUCUUCUGCCGGUGUUUGGUGUACAUAUUUGAAUCUUGGGACCCUUUGGCAAUAAUUGCAGGGCUUUCCAUCUCCACUGACCCCAGCGAAGGGUUGUGAGACAUGCAAAGGAAGAGUUGCAACCUUUGCUGGAAAGGUAGUACAGGAAGAAAAACAGUGAGGAGUGGCUAGGAGAAUAGAAAUCCCAGGGUGUCCACCCCCUCUAAAUUCUUUCUAUUUAAUCAUUUGCCCAGAUUGUGCUCACGCAACCUUUUAAUCUAAGUAGCAGAAUCAACAGAUUUGACUUUGACCUUCAUUUUUGCUUCACUCCAAAGCAAAGAGUUGGAAGUGCCUACAGAAAGGAAAGGAACUGAAUAAUUUCCAAGCAGAUUCUGUCAUGUUUCUGGGCAUGCUAGCAAUAUUUCCAGAACCUGGUACAGAGUGCAAGGUUCAGAUUUGUAACUGGCUCUUCGCUUCUGCUUCUGGGAAGAUGGAGUAAGUCUACUUUUCUCUAUCCCUCCAAAAAAGUACAACUAAAAACUCUGGACAUUAUAUAUAAAACAAAUUAAAGAAACUCUGAAAAGUAGAGGAAAAACAGCAUACUAGCUAGGGACCUCAGGACCCAAAGAGGAACACAGAGGAUAAUAGAAUUUCUAGCUGGAGACGUGGCUAACUAGCAUAAAAACUGAAUUUCCCAGCGUCUGUUGCAGGGAGACCUGACGGGAAUAUAGAAGAUGGCUUCCUGAGCGUAAAAUCAAAACAAGAGGAAACAGGUGAGGUAAGUGUAUAGCGAUGAUCCUUUUACCUUGGAAACUGGAGUGACAGGAGUAAAAUAAAACCCCAAAAUCUCUUAUCUUUAUCUUUACAUCUGAAAUGGCGCUGCAGCUGGGAGCAAAAAUAGGUCAAAGGCAGAAGGUAAGGCUUCCUUUUCCUGACCCUAACCCUGUAUCCUCCCACAGAUGAACAACUGACACAUUCUUUUUUUCUUUUUAAUGUUUUACAUUUUUUUUCUUUCCUUUUCUCUCUUUCUUUUUUUU